ensembl:lncRNA
CCAACGCCCCCUGUAUUAACCUGUUUGUAGACCCAGAGAAGGAUCUUUACCAGUACAGUGGCAUGAUGAAGAAACUGCUUGUUCGAGAGGCUGUUUCAUGCUCUCCCUGUGAUGCCACUCUAACUCUGGAGUCUUUUCAGGAGCAGGUAAGCCUGUCUGGACACCUGGAAAAGUUACAAGACACUGAGUGUGCAUCAUCAAGGCCAUGGUCACCAGGGCCCAUUUGGAACUCAGAGGAACAUCCUGAUGCGAAAAUAGACCUUUCCAGUGAGACGCUCCCAUCAUCUCCAAGCAGUGAAACCCCCACAGAGCAACCUGAAGACAAGAUGCCUGACUCAAAUAGCCUGGCCCUAUUUUCCGAUGAUGACACUCCAUCAUAAAGCCCCCUGCCCUUCCCAUAUACUCAUGUCUCUGAGUCUCUGCUGAAGAGAGCAAAUGCCUCCGUCUCUUUCUCACCCACUUAUGCUCAUGUGUCCUGCCCUGGAGAUGAAAAUAUCAGCGUCACCAUGCAUGGAGCAACCAGCCUGCCCCCGCUGAGAGAUGGAGGUACCCCACUGCCAUUUGCUAUUCUGUGAGUAACUGUAACA